CCUACGGGUGGCAGCAGUGGGGAAUAUUGGACAAUGGGGGGAACUCUGAUCCAGCGACGCCGCGUGAGUGAAGAAGUAUUUCGGUAUGUAAAGCUCUAUCAGCAGGGAAGAAAGAAAUGACGGUACCUGACUAAGAAGCCCCGGCUAACUACGUGCCAGCAGCCGCGGUAAUACGGAGGGGGCAAGCGUUAUCCGGAUUUACUGGGUGUAAAGGGAGCGUAGACGGCGAUGCAAGUCUGAAGUGAAAGGCGGGGGCUCAACCCCCGGACUGCUUUGGAAACUGUAUGGCUUGAGUGCAGGAGAGGUGAGUGGAAUUCGUAGUGUAGCGGUGAAAUGCGUAGAUAUUAGGAAGAACACCAGUGGCGAAGGCAGCUUACUGGACUGUAACUGACGUUGAGGCUCGAAAGCGUGGGGAGCAAACAGGAUUAGAUACCCCAGUAGUC
rnacentral:rRNA from 1 species